rnacentral:rRNA from 1 species
GACGAAGGAUGCAAGCGUUGUCCGGAUUCAUUGGGUUUAAAGGGAGCGUAGGCGGCCUUGUAAGUCAGUGGUGAAAUCUCGCAGCUUAACUGCGAAACUGCCAUUGAUACUGCAGGGCUUGAGUACAGAUGCUGUGGGCGGAAUAUGACAUGUAGUGGUGAAAUACAUAGAGAUGUCAUAGAACACCGAUUGCGAAGGCAGCUCACAAAACUGUAACUGACGCUGAGGCUCGAAAGUGUGGGGAUCAAACAGG